GCGAGAAAUGAUGCUAGACUCAUUUAUGUUCAGACCCCAGCCUGAUGGAUGUCUGGUGUGGAUAAUGAGGGAAGAACGUGCCUUUUACACCCAAGAGGUGACCCCGGAGCGUGCCCCGGAUGACCCCACGACUUGGAACGAUGCGACUAGCCUGCAUGUUCUCGUCCAUCCUGCUGUUUGGAGCUGCGGGCCUGCUCCUCUUCAUCAGCCUCCAGGACCCUAUAGAGCUCAGCCCCCAGCAAGUUCCAGGUGAGCCCCGAAGUUGCUACUUAACACUGCAGGCUGCAUGCAGACCUUCCUCAUGGCCCUGGUGUGCCAGGGCUGGGUGACGGUAACCCUUGUAAACAGAGAAAGGGCCCUGGCUUCCUUC
rnacentral:lncRNA from 1 species